GUCUCAAUGUGUCAAAAUUUCAAUAAUAUUAAUGAAAAACUAUUUUUUACACUUAAAUUAUGGCCAUCAUUUUUUAAACACACGGUAUUUCCAAAAUCAGACCCCAAAAGAACACUCCCGGAUACGAAUGCAACGUUGUGUCAAAAUUUCAAAGCAAUCGGUGAAAAACUUACGGAGAUCUUAUUGUUAGAUGAGGAACAAACAUUUACAUUUUUAUUUAUAUAGAUUAAAUUGAUUUAUUACGUUAUUUAUACGUUUGUUGAUUAUCAUUUAUGUAGAUGUUCUCACAAAGGGAAAGCACCUUGAUAAUUUAGAUCGAUGAUAAAAAACUUAAUUUUCUUAAAUAAUCGUAUUGGUAAGAAAGUUGCAGUAUUAGGGAAUCAAAAAUAUCGUUGUUUUCUAGCGCCAUUAUGAAAUAUUAUGCGUACCAGAAUUGAUUCGUUUUUAUCGUUCGCUCGUAAUUCGAAAAAUUGUCGAUGACGAGACAGGGGCAAGAUGCAGCUUGCUUGCGGGUCCAAGUUGCAUCGGCGCCAAACGGCAGCGUCUCACGGUUUUCGAGGUUCAGCGAGGUUAAAAGGAGUUACAUUAUCGUGAAGCGUUUGGGCGUGGGAGCAGAGAACACUGUGCGAAAGGAUCCUACGCCGACUCAUGCAUGCGCGACUAUCUUCUUGUGUGUUCUUGUACGCGCGUGGAAUUGUAUUACGACCGAUAUAUACCAAGCAAGAAAAGGAAUAUGACACAUUUUGUUUCUCUUUCUCUCUAGCUUCCUUCAUUUCUUUCGAAAUUCACAAGUUGUCGAUAUUAUUCAUAUGGCAAACUUUACGCGUUAGUCGAUAAAUACGUCAAGUGAUAUUCUUAAGAAUUUUUCCGAAUAUUUUGAUUUAAAAUAAUUAAGAUUUUUUGGUAUAUAUCUUUUUAGUUUGUUCCCUUUGUGUGCAAACCGCAGAAUGUUUUGUCAAGAUUUUUAGCGCCUUUCCCUUCCUGCUUCACCAAAUCUAUAUAUCUGACUGCUAGACCGUACUCUGUCACGGACACCGGUCUCUAGAGGGAACAGAUGAGCCGAUCUGCUCGCAGGUAGCUCGUACGCAGCGCAGCAGGUGAGCAUCGUGCGGCGAUCCUGCGCGCAAAAUCGCGUGCGUAACGCCCGUACGGAGCGCUUAUAAACAUUUUUCACUUCAAUUUCUCGCGAUCAAAUUAAUAAGGAAGUAAUAUCGCCAAUGUGAUAAAGCGAUCGCACUCUCGGAAAGUCCCACUAAUAACGUAACCGACUUGUUGCCAUAAUGAGUAACACAGUGGAAUUGUAUCAACGACGUCGUGAUCUCUCACAACGAUAAUGUUGAAAAUGCUCAAACUAAUUAAAGGUUAUAUUCAAUCAUAGUGAGAUUACAUAUAUAUUACGUUGUGUUAAAAUAUUAAAAUUAAUUCAUACAUAUAAAUUUAUUAUAACAUGCUGCUUAAUAAUUGUAAAAUUGUAAGCUAAUUUGCGAUUUGUUAUUUUGUCACCGCGAGCAUUGAACCUUCGCGACAUUCGUCUGUAGUUUAAUUCCAUUUAAAAUUGUUCUCUCUCGAGGGAGAGAAACGCUUCCUCCUGCCUGAUGUAGGAGGGAAGUAGGGAAUGGAGGUACUCGGUGACCUGAUUAUAAAACGGAUUUAGGCUUGCGUAUCCGACACGCAUAUGCGCUCAUUCGCGAUUCAUAUUUUUGGCUGCAUAGUAACUGCACUCAAACGACGAAACGUUCGAAAUGCGGUACACGUGUGCACGCUCACACACGGACGAGCAGUCAGGUAGUAAGGUGGUAGGUAGGUAGGUAGGUGCAUACGCGCAGCGUGGGAAGGUCCGGCAGCUGAGUGAGCUGAAGGGGCCCCAAAAAGCGAACGGCUGCAGCUUCUUCUUCUUCUUGCCCCGUAGCCACCGCUGGCUUCUGCCGGUCGGAUCGCUUGGUCCUUCCUCCAUCUAUCCGUGGGAGCCUGUUGCCUAGAUAGACACCCGGUGGCUGCUUUUCUCUAGGACGCAACUCUGCAGGGCAAUUCCUUGAAAAACUAUGAUGCUUGAAAAGGUUGUAAAAACGCGAGAGAAAUUGUAGACAAAAGGACUGUCAAAACAAACGUCUCAAUUAUCGAAUCCAUCGGAUGCGAGGCUUUCUUCUCGUUUACGAAAUUAUAUUUAAGACUGUUAACAAAUGACAGAUAAUUAUUGUCAUCGAUAAACUUAAUUUGAUAUAUUUUUUCCAUAAUUUAAUUUUCAGAAUAGAGAGAAUAUUAUUUUAAUCGAUUUUUUAAUUUAUCGAGAUAAAAUGUCCCGGAAAGCCUUGGAUGGAUGAUGCGUAUUUUGGAGAUCGACAUUUGGAAUUAUUGAAAUUCGAAGCGAGAUACUCCGAUGCGAGGCAUUUCGGUGAACGAUGACGGCAACGACGACGUUCACGGCGACAUCCUGUCCCGCGAGAUGAAAAGCCGUGCAUUCGGCGAAGGUUUCAUUAUUAAUUGUUCAAGUUCCUGUUCAAACAGAGAGAUUAAAUCCGAGGGGGACUAAUCCGGCACGUAAAAGUCUCUCAUUGUGCGCGUCCCGUCCCGUCCCGUGUAUCGUGUAUACGCAUCCUACUUCCUUCUGCACGUGUCCGUGUCCGCACACAGGCACGAUCUCAUACAGCGUGACAGCGACGCGAUCUCACAUUCGAAUGCGGGACAGGAAGCUUCUGCCUCCCUCGUAUAUCCACCGGGGACUCUGUUCCGCUCCUUCCCUCUCUUCUACCCUCUUCUACCUCUGGCCGCACUUCACUCCUGCGCUCUCGUUCGCUCUUAAGGGCCCGAAAAGAGACGCGCAACAAAAAUAAUAAAAAGUGCUUCCUUCCGUUCGGUUCGUCCAUACAUCUCGCAUCUGGCCUUGAGCUCGCUCUCUCAAUCUCUUCGUGUUACAUCCGAUCCUUCUCGUGACCUCUAAACUCCAUCGCUCUUUUAUCUCUUUAUGUCAUACUUAUCAUAUUAAUAAUCAAUAAUACCGAUGAAAUUUUCUCUUUCUUUCAGAUAAUUAAUUUUUGGAGAAAUCUCUUUAUUUGUCAACAAUAAUUAAACUUUUAACUCAAACUUACUUUCCUAAUUUUAUUUUUGAAUAAACUUUCGAGACUUAAAAUUAAUCAUGAAAAAUUACAUGUAAUUAAUCAUUAUUUUCUUUACAUUUUUAAUCAGCUUUUAGUUACCCUUUUUUGAUACUCCUGAUAUUUGUUCAUGCCGAAUUUUCUCCAUCUCUCUCUCUCUCUCUCUCUCUCUCUCUCUCUCUCUCUCUCUCUCUCUCUCUCUCUCUCUCGCUUUCCGACACUCGAGUCUGGCGGUUUCUAUCUUGUAAACAGCCGUACCUUCUGGUGCGCGUAACAACCGGCUGUCGGAGAAUCUCUUUUAUUAUUCUGUGAGCUAUCCUUGACGCUCCUUUCUCGUGUUAGGCAGUAGCCUUAUGGUACAAUCUGCGAAAUGGAGUCUUUAGGUAUCGGUACCUGUGCAGAUUCACGAUCGGAUGGUCCAUAAAAGUUGCAGGAACGAUAUUAAACUCCGAUAAAGAUUUUGUCUUAUUUCACCAUCGUUCAAAGAAAUCUUUAUAACGUUCAUGUAACAGAUUGACAGCGUAUAAUUUGCUUAAAAAUUCAACACGUUUAAGAUCAGAUACCAAAAAUAUAUAAAAGAGUGCGCGAAAGAUAUUUUCUUAUAUUCGUCAUUCGUUCAAAUUUCGAUGAUAAUGAUUGUCACUUCUCUUUUAUACAUAUAUUGUCAAAUUCAGAAAAAUAAACAUCGUUUGUGGCGUCGAGAGGAAACCGGACGAGGGUGGGAGAAUUUUGGAAACGCCAUUGGGCGUUUAUAGAGGUUUAAAGGGAAUGGGAAGGGUAGGACAAAGAGGAGAAUAUUGUAGUGACAGAGAUACACAUGGAAGAGAAUGAGGGCGUCGAAAUGAGAGAGAGAGAGAGAGAGAGAGACGGGGGGAGGGGACGUCGGAGAUAGUGGGCGGAAAUGGCCCGUACAGGGAGGCUGGAACCACCUUGGCUUCCGCUAUAUUGAGUGCUAAGGAUAUACACAACCACCUUGUCCCACUCGCACUCUCACGUGGCACACGUGUUGUCAUUCGUCGUUCCCUCUACGUCGUUCUACAAGGGGUGGCUCAUCGCUUCAUACUCGAAGAAAGGGAGGGGGUCGUCCAGAAAAAGAUCUCUCGAUGUCUUCACUUCUCUCUCUAUCUUUCUCUCCCUCCUCUUACUCUUUUAACUCAACUCCCUUAACUUCCUAUUACUUCGCUCGGUUCCCUUUGACGCUCGGGAGAACUUCCGGAAUUUCGCACGCCCAUUCAAAGAAGCGACGAGCACACAAACGAAGAAACGAAGUUCCGUUUAUACUUCGCGGUCGAGACGGGAGCGCGAAAGAAAGGCUGGCGACUUCGCUUCCUUCCGCGCUUCACUUCUCUUCGGCCCGGUGCUCUUUGUCGAUCGGCGCUUCUGUAUUAACCGGAACCUCUCGCCGCCGAAAACAAAACCUCACCGUCGCGAAGAGAGGAAUCGUGGACCGAAGUUUUCUGUUGUUCGUGCCGUGCUUUGUCGUGAAUUCACGAGACAGGGGAAGGGAAUGACUUCCUGUUUACUUCUCACCACCGUGCACCGGUCGUCUCUUCGUCAUCGGUCCGCCGCGCCGCCGCCCGCCCGACGUUGUCGUCGUUUCAUCGGUUUAAUCGGCGCAUCGAUUAACAAUUAAGCAUUAUCGGACUAAACGUUCGCAUUAAAUUAAGAGGCAACGUAUCUUGACGAAUGAUCGGAGGGUGGAGAAGAAUGCGCACGCGAUCAACAAAGUUACGGUUCGUUACAGCGCGUCAGAUGGUCAGUUUCACUAAAUGGACUUGAAUGCUCGCUAAUGAAGGAACAUGCCGGAUCACUUCCACGCCUCGUUCGUCUCUUCAUUUUCCUGUUGUAGCUCCAAGCCCGAAAUAAUUGAUUUAACGGCUGGAUGAUGCUUUUUCCAGUCUUAUCGUACUAAAUUAAUUUUUGGGGUAUAAACGUUCAAUUAUUUUGAAAAGGAAAACAUUACAGGCGUGGCAAAAAUUGUUUUGAAGAAGAUUAAUAGAUUUAUUUAUAUUACGUGCAAACAGUGUAGGUUUGGGUUUGAAAAAUCGCACAAUUUAGAAAUCCGAUAAAAUUGCAAGGCAGGAAUCGUCGAUCGCAUCGUGAAAGGCAAAAAUCCAGACGAAUUCUUGUCCUUGCGUCUAAAGGAGUUCUUUUUGUCCCGAAAUAACACGGCAUUCUUUGGCGUAUGUGUAAAAUACACGAGCUAUCGAAGCAGGAGAAGCGCAGGGAAGGACGUGAAACAGGCCGUUUACCUCGAAGGAGCCUUACUUUGGGAAAGUCGGCGUUCAUACGAUACGUAAGUGCCAAGUUGACGCUCGUACUUUUGUACGCGCACGAAUGUUGCGUACCACAUUUCCACGCACAGUAUCUAAUUUCAACCUGUGAAUUUUGCGUGCGACGAUGUGAAUACAUAUGUAUCGAACAAUGGCUCACGAAAGAACGUUAACUCUCGCUCAAAUUGGUAUAGACACGCGCAAAGUUUAAUAUCGCGAACGGCAAACUUAACACGCCGUUAUUCUAGAAACUACUGAUCAUUAAAUUAAUUAAAGGAAUAUUUUUAGGAAUUCUAAUCUUUGACUAGCGAUAACUUCCAUCCUCUCGAUGGUCUCUCCGAGAGAGACUUGCGAGAAAAGCCCCGCGUGCACGACGACGCUCUGUCGAUGAUUAAGGCGCAUGUUCGGUUGUUUUUAUCAUAACAAUAGACGGUUCGUCACAGUCAUAAAUGUAAGCGCGCGCGUACGACCGUAUUGUGUUCCACGGUUCCCACACGCGGCGCGUACGUGACGCGAAUUCAUCGCGCUAAUGGGAGUGCGUAUAGAACGCGCGCGUUUAAGCUUCUCUGUCAGAAGAGAGACGCCUCCGGCGCGAGAUCGCCCGAAUGAUCUCGGCUUACCAAAUCAUAAUUCGUGAGUCUGCAAGUAUGGCGAUGGUCGGACGUGCUUAUGUACGAAACGUUGUGCAUCACUUUUUCUUAUCGAAUAAAAGGGUAGACAAAAACACAAAGGAGCUGAAAGAUGUUAUUAAUCUGUAAGUUACAUCGCUCCCUCGAUUUACGCGGAGUAUUCAUGCUACAUUUUUUUAUGCAGUUGAGAAUUGCGUACAUAAAGUUUGCCAAAAAUGUAAGAGAAAACCCCAUGUGCGUUGUAAAAUUAUUUAUUGUGUAGCUAUCAAUACUUUUAUUCCAAAGCAAAAAAAGUCAUGUAAAAAAAGUGCCGCGUAAACCGAAGGACCAGAUUGUUAAAAAUCUAACCGCGUCACUAUCUUCGUUCCCUAUUUGAUAUGUAUGCAUCGUACUUUCCCCCGAGAACGCAUAUAUACAGGUAAAUGGUAAUAAGUUUGUCCGGCGUGUGACCAGAUCAACCGAGACGAUCGUGUGGAUCUUAAAAAAGGAACUGCAGUUCGUGUCGCCGUACGUCGCGUGUUGCUGGAUUUUCAAAUGCGAGCUGUGACUCAUCGCCGACUGAAAAGGCUAUUCAUUAGCAUUUACUCGAUGACGAGAAAUCUCCUAUUCUCCGAGUACAUCACCAAUUACAGGAUGCGUGGUAUCGAACGAACUGACGACCUGGCACAAAAGGUGCGACUUAUUAUCCUUUUUUACUUAGGAGGAAAGAGAGCCUCGGACGAUCGAGCUCAAUGGUACCCACUGAAAAAACCAAUUAAUUUCCAAUGAACUUGGAGAACGGCAGCUGCAUAUCAGGAAAAGCUUUUCAUACCGGUGCCUCGUCCUCCUCGUCCCUCCCCUCCCGUUAUUUCCCACUUCUUCUUCGACUAAGGACGCGUCUCGUUUUAAGAAGAAGCAGCAGGCUUCUCGACUGUCCCGCUUCCUCCCUCCGUCUUCUCCUUGUCUUUUUUCCCCGUUGUACCACUCCCACGGGGCCUUUUAGCUAAAGAAAACCCAAGAACAGAUGCUUCUUUCUCGCCGCGCGAUCUUUCUUUUUCUCGUUUCUUCUCUGCCUCCCUCUCUCCCGGUGCUGCCGGGAGCCGGGAGCAGCAGGCAGCAGGUAAACGCGAUGGUUGCAGUUCAGAUGCAAAUCGCGAGCUUUUCCGCCCUGAUUCGCUCUGCUCGAGUACCUAUCGAGAGUAUUGUCAUCCCUUCUCCGCAGAGCCCGCCUGCGACCACGACGAAGCGAGGGAGCUCGCGUGAACAUAGACAAUGGACGGUGUUCUGAUCUUUGUUAGAUCGAGAGUACGAGCGCUUAUAUUGCUCCAGAUCCAUCGAUCAUUCGAGAUCGAACGCGUUUAACAUCGUAUAUACAAAACUCGUGUAUAAAACUAUGGUUAUCAAUGCAAUAUCUAAAUCGUAUUUAUUUAACAUUCUCAGCGCGGUUACGUGAAAAUAAAUCUAGAUAGUUUCUUACUAAGAUAUUACUUCCUGAUUACAAUUGUUAUCUUGCACCUUGACUCAGAAAAUUAUCGCAGCAGUCGCGCGAUAACUUUCGUAAGUAGCGCGUGAGUUAUUUGUUUAGGAAGCUAUCUCGUACCGGGACUCGUAUGGGUGUAAGGGAAGAAAUCGAGCUGUAUCACAAGCGGGAGAGACAUCGGCUGAGGAAGAAAAGGAGUCCGA